rnacentral:rRNA from 1 species
GACGUAGGGCGCGAGCGUUGUCCGGAUUUAUUGGGGGUAAAGAGCUCGUAGGCGGCUUGUCGCGUCGUCCGUGAAAACCUGCAGCUCAACUGCAGGCUUGCGGUCGAUACGGGCAGGCUAGAGUUCGGUAGGGGAGACUGGAAUUCCUGGUGUAGCGGUGAAAUGCGCAGAUAUCAGGAGGAACACCGGUGGCGAAGGCGGGUCUCUGGGCCGAUACUGACGCUGAGGAGCGAAAGCGUGGGGAGCGAACAGG